CAUUACCGAGUUUACAACUCCCAAACCCCUGUGAACAUACCUUAAUGUUGCCUCGGCGGAUCAGCCCGCGCCCCGUAAAACGGGACGGCCCGCCAGAGGACCCAAACUCUAAUGUUUCUUAUUGUAACUUCUGAGUAAAACAAACAAAUAAAUCAAAACUUUCAACAACGGAUCUCUUGGUUCUGGCAUCGAUGAAGAACGCAGCAAAAUGCGAUAAGUAAUGUGAAUUGCAGAAUUCAGUGAAUCAUCGAAUCUUUGAACGCACAUUGCGCCCGCUGGUAUUCCGGCGGGCAUGCCUGUUCGAGCGUCAUUUCAACCCUCAAGCCCCCGGGUUUGGUGUUGGGGAUCGGCUCNGCCCUUCUGGGCGGUGCCGCCCCCGAAAUACAUUGGCGGUCUCGCUGCAGCCUCCAUUGCGUAGUAGCUAACACCUCGCAACUGGAACGCGGCGCGGCCAUGCCGUAAAACCCCAACUUCUGAAUGUUGACCUCGGAUCAGGUAGGAAUACCCGCUGAACUUAAGCAUAUCAA
rnacentral:rRNA from 1 species